GUGCGCCUUUUUUUUUUUUCCUUCUUAGUCGUGUGUACAUCAUUGGGAAUGGAGGGAAAUAAAUGACUGGAUGGUCGCUGCUUUUUAAGUUUCAAAUUGACAUUCCAGACAAGCGGUGCCUGAGCCCGUGCCUGUCUUCAGAUCUUCACAGCACAGUUCCUGGGAAGGUGGAGCCACCAGCCUCUCCCUGACAAGCAAAGUGGAUCAGCAAAGGCUGCAGUCACCAGCAUCUUUUCCAACCUUAAUGAACUGUAUCCUCAAAAGAACACUAUCAGACUGGCUCUGCCGACUUCCAGUUCUGGAACAAGAUGGUUAAACUCAUUUUUCCCUGCUCUGCUCCUCUAAAUACAACUAAGUACCUUGGAAACUAUUCAGCAGACAAUGAUAAAGGGCUCUGAAAGCUAGAAGAAAAGGUGUACUUGCAAGAAACCUCAGGACUUGAGUAACAGCAACAUGAACAAUCCAUUUCACAGAUGAAGAAACAGACUCAGUGAGCACGUGAUCACUUCUCACAACUAAUGGAGCCAAGAUUCUGUCCUUAUGGCUCCAGAGACCUCUUUUUUUUCCCACUGUACCACAACACUCACCAGGACUGGAGUGCCACCUAUGACCUCAUUGCAUAAUGGAUGGCUUGUCCUCAAAUGGGCCCGGAAAACCAGAAUCAUGGUAUUCUGAGGACUACAAAUGAUUCAACAAAGCCUGAGAAUCUCCCUCAUUUGGAAUUCCACUGUGCCCGAUUUAUUUUCCAUUGCCAAGGCACUACUGGUAAAGCUAUACAAAAUGAAGCACACCCACUGAAGGUUCAGGGACCAUGGCAGAAGAGCAAGGCACAUGAGACUGUAAGAGCCAGAUUGGGAGCUGGAGUGUGGAGGCCAAACAACUCCAUCUUGUAUGCUAAUCUGCUGUGUUAACUUCUGAUUAACCCUGGUUUUGCGAAUGCCUCCAAGAUUUCUAUUUUAUCUACUGUUCCUUGGGUAUGAGCAUGUACUUACCAUCAAUCCUGUCCUUAGUUUGAUAUUAUCUUUCCAUAAAUCCUGAACUUAAGCCAACUGUCCUAUACAUCCCUUCUGAAGCAUAUAUACACUUUCCCUAUGGCUCAUAAGCCCUGGGUCUGGAGUGUAACCAUGCACGGAUCUACCAUCUCAUCUUGAGGCUGCCCGAGAUAGGGUUUCUGUUUGUAAAUACCUAUUAAAUGUUUCUUUCUGAGAAAACAAUAAGAAGAAAAGAGAGGAAAGGUCUCAAAACAUUAUUCCAAGUGUCUGUCUCAAGAAACUAGGAAAAGAACCUAGCACAAAGCAA
ensembl:lncRNA MIR4435-2HG MIR4435-2 host gene